UAAGCCUCCAGAUAUGCAGCUCACCAUAGC
rnacentral:piRNA from 1 species